rnacentral:rRNA from 1 species
UACAGAGGUCCCAAGCGUUGUUCGGAUUCAUUGGGCGUAAAGGGUGCGUAGGCGGCGCGGUAAGUCGGGUGUGAAAUCUCGGAGCUUAACUCCGAAACUGCAUUCGAUACUGCCGUGCUUGAGGACUGGAGGGGAGACUGGAAUUUACGGUGUAGCGGUGAAAUGCGUAGAUAUCGUAAGGAAGACCAGUGGCGAAGGCGGGUCUCUGGACAGUUCCUGACGCUGAGGCACGAAGGCCAGGGGAGCAAACGGG